UGAAUUAGAUCGGUAUAAUGUUGUU
rnacentral:piRNA from 1 species